UACGUAGGGCGCGAGCGUUUGUCCGGAUUUAUUGGGCGUAAAGAGCUCGUAGGCGGCUUGUCGCGUCGACUGUGAAAACCCGUGGCUCAACCAUGUGGUCUGCAGUCGAUACGGGCAGGCUAGAAUUCGGUAGGGGAGACUGGAAUUCCUGGUGUAGCGGUGAAGUGCGCAGAUAUCAGGAGGAACACCGGUGGCGAAGGCGGGUCUCUGGGCCGAUAUUGACGCUGAGGAGCGAAAGCGUGGGGAGCGAACAGG
rnacentral:rRNA from 1 species